GAUGAACGCUGGCGGCGUGCUUAACACAUGCAAGUCGAACGGUGAACACGGAGCUUGCUCUGUGGGAUCAGUGGCGAACGGGUGAGUGACACGUGAGCAACCUGCCCCUGACUCUGGGAUAAGCGCUGGAAACGGCGUCUAAUACUGGAUAUGUGACGUGACCGCAUGGUCUGCGUUUGGAAAGAUUUUUCGGUUGGGGAUGGGCUCGCGGCCUAUCAGCUUGUUGGUGAGGUAAUGGCUCACCAAGGCGUCGACGGGUAGCCGGCCUGAGAGGGUGACCGGCCACACUGGGACUGAGACACGGCCCAGACUCCUACGGGAGGCAGCAGUGGGGAAUAUUGCACAAUGGGCGCAAGCCUGAUGCAGCAACGCCGCGUGAGGGAUGACGGCCUUCGGGUUGUAAACCUCUUUUAGCAGGGAAGAAGCGAAAGUGACGGUACCUGCAGAAAAAGCGCCGGCUAACUACGUG
rnacentral:rRNA from 1 species